GAUGAACGCUGGCGGCGUGCUUAACACAUGCAAGUCGAACGGGAUCCAUCAGGCUUUGCUUGGUGGUGAGAGUGGCGAACGGGUGAGUAAUGCGCGACCGACCUGCCCCAUACACCGGAAUAGCUCCUGGAAACGGGUGGUAAUGCCGGAUGCUCCAGUUGAUCGCAUGGUCUUCUGGGAAAGCUUUCGCGGUAUGGGAUGGGGUCGCGUCCUAUCAGCUUGACGGCGGGGUAACGGCCCACCGUGGCUUCGACGGGUAGCCGGCCUGAGAGGGCGACCGGCCACAUUGGGACUGAGAUACGGCCCAGACUCCUACGGGAGGCAGCAGUGGGGAAUAUUGCACAAUGGGCGCAAGCCUGAUGCAGCGACGCCGCGUGAGGGAUGGAGGCCUUCGGGUUGUAAACCUCUUUUAUCGGGGAGCAAGCGAGAGUGAGU
rnacentral:rRNA from 1 species